CCUACGGGCGGCAGCAGUGAGGAAUAUUGGUCAAUGGACGAGAGUCUGAACCAGCCAAGUCGCGUGAAGGAUGACUGCCCUACGGGUUGUAAACUUCUUUUAUAUGGGAAUAAAAUGUUCCACGUGUGGGAUUUUGUAUGUACCUUAUGAUUUAGGAUCGUCUAACUCCGUGCCAGCAGCCGCGGUCAUACGGAGGAUCCGAGCGUUCUCCGGAUGUAUUGGGUUUAAAGGGAGCGUAGGUGGGUUGUUAAGUCAGUUGUGAAAGUUUGCGGCUCAACCGUGAAAUUGCAGUUGAAACUGGGAGUCUUGAGGACAGUAGAGGUGAGCGGAAUUCGUGGUGUAGCGGUGAAAUGCGUAGAUAUCACGAAGAACUCCGAUUGCGAAGGCAGCUCACUGGACUGCAACUGACACUGAGGCUCGAAAGUGUGGGUAUCGAACAGGAUUAGAUACCCUGGUAGUC
rnacentral:rRNA from 1 species